rnacentral:rRNA from 1 species
GGCGGCGCGCCAAACACAUGCAAGACGAACGAGCGAGAGAGAGCUUGCUUUCUUGAGCGAGUGGCGAACGGGUGAGUAACGCGUGAGGAACCUGCCUCAGAGAGGGGGACAACAGUUGGAAACGACUGCUAAUACCGCAUAAGCCCACAGGUCGGCAUCGACCAGAGGGAAAAGGAGCAAUCCGCUUUGAGAUGGCCUCGCGUCCGAUUAGCUAGUUGGUGAGGUAAUGGCCCACCAAGGCAACGAUCGGUAGCCGGACUGAGAGGUUGAACGGCCACAUUGGGACUGAGACACGGCCCAGACUCCUACGGGAGGCAGCAGUGGGGAAUAUUGCACAAUGGGGGAAACCCUGAUGCAGCGACGCCGCGUGGAGGAAGAAGGUCUUCGGAUUGUAAACUCCUGUUGUUGAGGAAGAUAAUGACGGUACUCAACAAGGAAGUGACGGCUAACUACGUGCCAGCAGCCGCGGUAAAACGUAGGUCACAAGCGUUGUCCGGAAUUACUGGGUGUAAAGGGAGCGCAGGCGGGAAGACAAGUUGGAAGUGAAAUCUAUGGGCUCAACCCAUAAACUGCUUUCAAAACUGUUUUUCUUGAGUAGUGCAGAGGUAGGCGGAAUUCCCGGUGUAGCGGUGGAAUGCGUAGAUAUCGGGAGGAACACCAGUGGCGAAGGCGGCCUACUGGGCACCAACUGACGCUGAGGCUCGAAAGUGUGGGUAGCAAACAGGAUUAGAUACCCUGGUAGUCCACACCGUAAA